CGGCCCUACAAGGUGAAGUCCCAAUCUCCCCAUCAAUAAAAGAAAUAAAUAAAAAUCUCUCCAUCCACCCAUGAAUGAAGGAGUACCUCAGAUCAGGCUAUGCCUUUUUCAAAGUGAAACAUACCACUAAUCUUGCUCUGCAGGGUGCCUCGUGAAAGUGAAGCAUGCCCAAAAGAGCAGGAUGGAAGAUUAGUUACCAACCAAAAAGCACAGGAUGGUGGAGCCCACAAUGAACGACCAUGAGUUCGAAAUUACCGAAUUUAAGGCUAUAUCCAAAAAACAAAAAAGGUGAAGAAAAAAGGAUGCAGACGAAACCUCAGACUGGCUCUUAAGAACUCUUCAUAAAGUCUGAGCUGACCUCUUGGUAGAUCACAGAUCUUACCACUUAGGCCCGGGACUUCCAAAUAGUACUCAGGUGGGACCUAGAACUGAAGAUGGGUCAGCUCCAAGUCCUCUAGGUCGAGGACUGAUAGGAAGCAUUUGGGGCCGUAGGCUUCUUCGACCCUGAUCUUCAGCUCUUCGGACUCAUACCCUGAGGAAAAUAAAGCCCCAUGACUCUGAGGCGUGUCCUAGUUGAUCAACCAACUUCCCAUCAAGUUAGUGAUACCACUCAUC
rnacentral:lncRNA from 1 species